AUAUUUCUUUGGCAACACAUAUACUAAAAUUGGAAUGAUACAGAGAAGAUUAGCAGGGCCCCUAAACAAGGAUGACACAUGAAUUCAUGAAGCAUUCCAUAUUUUC
rnacentral:snRNA from 1 species